UAAUAAGUAUGUGUAUGAGCAUGGGGAAAAGUUUUAUUUUUCUAACAAUGCUUCCAGUAUUUAUGAUAUCACAGUAAUGAUCUCAACCAACUCCAAUAAAUUCUGAGGCUGCAUUCCCAUCAUCUGUCACAUGGAAGGAUGCCAUUCUCAGCUAAUCUGAAAUUAGUUUCUGCCAUGUUGAUUUUGUUUUAAAGCUGAACACUUAAUUUUGUCACCUACUAGCUUUCUGUUAGGUGCCUGUGAAGGUUGAGGCAAAGGCCAAGAGGUAUUAUCACUAGACUAUUAAUCCAGAAAAGGCUCUUGGGAACAGGGUUUGAAUCCUGCCAAAGCAGAUGGUGGAAUUUUAAUUCAAUAUAUACCUGGAAUUAUGUGCCUAAUAAUAACCAUAAAAAUGUGGUCAAUUGUUGGAAAAACCCAUCUGGUUCACUAAUGUCCUUUAGGAAAGGAAACUGCCAACCUUAGCGGGUCUGGCCUACACGUGUGUCCAGACCCGUAGCAAUGUGGUUGACUCUUAACUGUCCUCUGUGUGAUUAGGAAUGGCCAGUAAAUGCCCACAUCGUGUGAAUGAAUUUGAAAAUGAAAUUUGUAGACUUCUGCAGAAAGACAUACGAUUGCAAUAUGUGAACGGUUUAGAUUUUAAUGAAGUACAUGUGACUUCCUCUCAUCAGUGGUAUCUCAUUUCUUAUUACAUUACAUUGAUGUAAUAUGUAACAUUAAUAAACUAAAUUGGUUUAGUUGAUGCAGUAAAAAAACUGUGCAUGUGCAUGUGAUUACCAGUGUAAUUUCAUUAAUUGUGAUAAUUUUGGGCAUCUCAGAUUUGCAAAGGAUAGUGUACAUUUUAAAAAUACCCAAUAAAGCACGUAAGUAAUACACACCACAGUGCUUGCAGGAAAAAAAGUGCUAAACUUUUUGCAUGCUGAUAUGUUAAAAGUGGGGAUAAAUCAUUUAGUCCCUUGAGCCUGUUAUACACCCAGUCUAUUUAUCUCCGAUUUGUAAUGAAUAAUUGAUCUAGUAUCAAUUUGAGCUUGCAGAACUUCUGCAACCCUUUUGUGAGCAGAAGUGCUUCCUGAUUUCACUGUUCUAAUUUCUCCUGAUUCUAGUCUUCUAACCAAGUCUUCUUUCUCUUUGCCCUAUCAGUUCCUCUAAUUAUUUUGAAAAUAUCAUUUCCUUCUCUUGCUCUGAAAUUCCAACCCCUUAAAUCUACAAUUUUUGCAUUCUGCAAUGCAAUCCAUUCAUAGUCAUCUGUAUGUCAGCAGAUAUAGAUGUCUUAGGCAAUCAGCAUCAUUUAUGAAUAAGUUUGAAACUGAAAUCUGAAGUCAUAGAUCAGUAGUACGUGUUGUGUUGUGAUGGUUUGUUUGCUAAAUAUGCUGGCUUUGAAUUCCACAGUUCCCAGAUGCUGAAAGCUAGAAGUCUUCAUUAUGAUCAGCUAUAUCUGUUAUGGCUUCCAGUCAUGUGAUUAAAUAACUAUCAGUAAUAGACAUAUGGCCUAGUGAUCUGGAUCUUAAGGUGAACAAGAGCAUUUGUGCUUAGACCAAGGGCAAACUAACUGGCAACAAAAUUUACACUUGAAUUGAACUUUUCUUUCUCUACCCCACACCACCACCACCCUCCAUCCCCACCCCGCCCAUAGUUAUAAUAGAAGCUGUGCAAAAAUGGAAGGCUGAUAAAGAGGCCAGACUUGAAAGUGGAGGUGACAAAGAAGAAGAGGAGGAAGAAGUAAACAUUUAUGCAGUGAAAGAUGAUGAGUCUGAUGAUGAAGGUGGGGAACAGAUGGAAGGAGAGGAAAACCAGCAAAAAUUUAUAGCUCAUGUUCCUGUACCAUCACAGAAAGAGAUUGAGGAGGCUCUUGUACGACGGAAGAAAAUGGAGCUCUUACAGAAAUAUGCUAGUGAAACUUUAAUGGCUCAAAGUGAGGAUGCAAAGAGGCUUCUUGGACUGUAACAUACAAUUUUUGAUAGCCAACACAACGGGACUUGUUUUAAAUGAAACCAACUAUAUAAGGAUUGUAGAUGUGCACCAAAUAAGACAUGGAGAUCACAUACGUUGUUGCACAGUGACCAGAAAUGCCCAAUUUUGUCAUCGGUGGUGGUUCUGGGUGGAGACCAGACAGUGCUUUAUGUAAAUAACAAACUUUUUUUUAGUUAAUGUGAAUUGAAUUUAUUUUUCAUUUCUAAUUUAAUAAAAUGAUCUUUUUUAGA